GGACCCUUAGCUCAACUGGAUAGAGCGCUCGCCUUAAGCAAGCGAGAGGUUGUAGGUUCGAAUCCUGCCGGGUGCG
rnacentral:tRNA from 1 species